rnacentral:rRNA from 1 species
UAGCCGUAAACGAUACUCGCUAGGUGUCGGCCACGGUGCGACCGUUGUCGGUGCCGUAGGGAAGCCGUGAAGCGAGCCACCUGGGAAGUACGGCCGCAAGGCUGAAACUUAAAGGAAUUGGCGGGGGAGCACAACAACGGGUGGAGCCUGCGGUUUAAUUGGACUCAACGCCGGACAACUCACCGGGAACGACAGCAAUAUGUAGGCCAGGCUGAAGACCUUGCCUGAAUCGCUGAGAGGAGGUGCAUGGCGUAGACGUCU